rnacentral:rRNA from 1 species
AGUGAACGCUGGCGGUAGGCCUAACACAUGCAAGUCGAACGGCAGCACAGUAAGAGCUUGCUCUUACGGGUGGCGAGUGGCGGACGGGUGAGGAAUACAUCGGAAUCUACUUUUUCGUGGGGGAUAACGUAGGGAAACUUACGCUAAUACCUCAUACGACCUACGGGUGAAAGCAUGGGAUCUUCGGACCUUGCGCGAUUGAAUGAGCCGAUGUCGGAUUAGCUAGUUGGCGGGGUAAAGGCCCACCAAGGCGACGAUCCGUAGCUGGUCUGAGAGGAUGAUCAGACACACGGGAAGUGAGACACGGUCCAGACUACUACGGGAGGCAGCAGUGGGGAAUAUUGGACAAUGGGCGCAAGCCUGAUCCAGCCAUACCGCGUGGGUGAAGAAGGCCUUCGGGUUGUAAAGCCCUUUUGUUGGGAAAGAAAAGCAGCAGGUUAAUACCCCGCUGUUCUGACGGUACCCAAAGAAUAAGCACCGGCUAACUUCGUG